rnacentral:lncRNA from 1 species
UCUUGCCCAAAGCAGUGCUUAACUCCUUGUGGAAUGCUCCAGAUUGAUGUGCGUUCCAAGACUGCUGAGGAUUACCUCCACACCAACCUGACACCAUCGUUUGGGGGAUUGAAUGCAGAAACAGUGAAGAAGAUGGAUGAGGUUCUCAAAGUUUGCAUCGCGGGAACCACAGACCUUCUAGCCAAAGUGCCACCGAAAGAGCGAACUUGGGAGAAGGUCAACUCCAUGUUCAUGCAAAAUCCCCUGGUUGAGCCAAUGGGCGAUGGGAUUAGCAGAGCUGACAAGUUUCUCAACAAAAGCUCUAACGAUUUCAAGUUUGACAGGUCACCGGAUGCAGUUAUUGUGAGAGCGGUAAUAGAAGUUAUGUAUUAUAGAAGAGCUCUAUUAACCGUUGCGGCCUUCUCUCAUCACAGGUUCAGACCUGGUUUGUGAAUCUCAUUGCAGAUGAGGACGUCCUGAAAUCAACCAAGAUCGACAUUGAAGUUCUUGGGCGCAUUGUUGCUCAGUCAGGGGCGGCCAUUAACAGCUUUAAAACUUUCUUUGCCAACGAUGAGCACCACGAGAAGACCAUAAUUGACAUCAGGGUCUUAAUGUACCCUGAUAUCCAAAACCCGUACUUCAAGGUUUGUAUUUCUUCAGCCGUUCCCAGCCCUUCGUAUUUCAGUCACAGCUCAUGUUUUUGAGUACAGGUGUACCGCAUCAAACUCUUUGCUUGGUCUGAUAGCUACCGUAUUCUGUACCAUCAGGAGGAUUCCAAUGGCAUCACUGGAGGUGAGGUGUCUAAUGUGAACCACUGAAAACUGCACGCUCCUUUUGUUCUAUUUGCAGAGUUCACCUUCCGUAAGUUUAAGCCGCGCAAGGAGGUCAUUGAGAACAUGAACCCAGAUGCCAAAAAGAAGGCUGUGGAAGCUGCAGAUAACAUCUUUCGUUUCUAAUAUCCAGGCUGUGUCAAUCGAGCCAAGAUGCCCUUUGCUUCAAGCUAAAACAUCUUCCUAGAUAAUAAUGAUCUAUUGUGUUUACAUGUUUUAAUCUCAAUUUCUGAAAAGAGACAAUCAGCCUGGAACGACAAACUACAAUAAAGUAAUAAAUAUCUAAAAGCUAGAUGCUUUGGAUUCCAAGUACUUUUGUCAAUGUAGCAAUGUUUUGCCUUCCACUGGAACAUUGAAAGGUGAUGAUAAGUUUAUCUAUCUAUCUAUAUACUGUUUAUAGUCUUGUGGUGCCCAUCAAGUAUUCUUUGUGAUAUAUUAAUAAAACGAAACAGGACAGUUUGCCAUGUGUAGAUCAUUGUCUCGUUGGUCUCUGUAGGUUCUUCGCGCUCAAGGUUACCACAAGUUAGCCAGGGACACGCUCAAUCAGCUCUAAGCCUCUGGUGCUGGAUUUUCCGAUCCUGUCGCUUUGAUGCAAACGACCCCGGGAACACUGUCGCAAUAAUAUUGUAGAGCAACAAGGUCUCUCAGACAAGGGAAUAUCUAAAUGGAUUUUGACAAGGAACAGAACUUCGAAAAUAGAACUUUAGAGAAUGCUACUUGGAACAAGGCAAAGGGAGGCCCUCAAAACCGUCGAGCUUUUCCUCCUCUAACUCACGAACUUUGUCACGAGCACAUUGUAAGUUUUCUUUUGCAAAUGCUUACGUACUGAUCAGUAGGCGUGAUAUCUCCUGCUAUAGGGUCGAGUUUUUAGGAUCCUAGAAAUCUACUCCGGGACAAGACGAUCAAGACGUUAAUACAAUUGUAAUGUUUUUAAAUUAAUAAGCUAAAUGCGCGAAUCUUUCCAAAACAGCAACGUCACUUUGGUCUUUUCUUAGUUUCUUGUCCAGCUGAGAACAGAGGUUUGUCUAGCUCAAGCAUGAGUUUCUAAAUGAAUACGUCCUGCGUUCUGACAUGGUUGAAUUAUCCUUGCUCAUAUUUACGACCAGUCUAAAGCUUAAACAUUACAUAAUCAACGGCUACUUUGAUUUUCUUCCUCUCGCAUACUCGGUGCUCGCUCCCUCCUCGCCUGCCAAAUACCUCCCUGAUAUGGAAGUCCUGGUGUUGCUAUAGGUUUUAAGCCUGACUUUUCUAAGGUUUGAUGUGGUUGCAGCAAAGUUUUUAGUUUCUCAGAUUUUAUUACAUGCAGGCGAGGGAAAAAUGGCGAAGUCAGGUUUCCAAACUUGAAAAUAGUGUGUUUUGGGCGGAAUGCAACCACUGUGGGACGCUUCUUGGUCUUAAGAAGCUAAUACAGGUGCUAUUGGGAAACGUUGAUGUUCUACAGCUCUCUACGAUUCACUGGAUGGAGCUGCUGGUGGCGCAUUUCCUACAUCUGAUACCUUUUUCUUUGGCAUGUAUGAACUGUGUAGUGUGCUAAGUUCACUUGCAAUUAUCGGGUGCAGGUCUUAGAUGGAAUGCGUAGCAUAGCUUCCAAGUGCAAAGGAUUGAAAAGUUCUGGGGACGAAGACCUUCAAGAACUUUUAUCUGCAAUUAUCAGCAACGACACCGAGGUAAAUGCUCUUCCCCGUCACAGUGGUAAGAACUUCUCAUGUCGAAUAUUUAUAUAAAUUUUCUAUCAGGAUGAUGGCGCAUGUUGAUGAUCUCCUGAUAGCAAGAGGGGAGGACGUUCGAUCUCUUCUUGAAGAAGACCUUGACAGAACUCCAUCGUUUUGUUUAUUCUCAAAUACUGUCUUUGCACAGCUUAACCUGGCAGGUAUGUCUUUGAUUUCUUUCUUCUUGAUGUCUAAACUGGCUAGAGAACGACAUCCUAAGCACCGCAGAGCCUGGCGCUGUGGAUCGCCUGAGAUUGGCACUGGCAUCCAACUUGGGCCGUGCCAUCUUGCAAAGCUGAUCGUUUCUUCGUUGUCAAACAAAGGUAGGAUUUCUUCUUGAACUGUACAAUUAAGCAAAUAGUUUGACCGUAGAACUUCGCUAAAAGUCAAUAUUUAGUCAACAUAGUCUUCUGUCAUUGAAAAUGUUAGCUUUUCAUUGUUUUUCAUACUUGCACUCAGCAAUUAAUCUAUACACAUGUACGGCUAUGUUGAUUUGUUAGUCACCCUCAGAACCAAGCACUACACCAGCAUCGUCCCUUCGUACUCUCCCUAGUCUUAGGCACCCGAAGCAUCUCACGCCUGCCUUGGAUGGAUACAAGUCAGGCUCCCAAUCUCGGACAAGCCCAAUCAAGCUUUUGCUACUCUUGCAAAAGGUGCAUGAAACGAGUGUCUGAUUUCACCCUGUUGACGUUCACGGCCCAUUUCAUUUCACCACUCUCUGAGACGAUGCUGUGAAACUUGACUUAGUGGACCUGUGGUUUUCCACAAGCGCUGGUUCCUUUCCAGCGACCGGCUGGGGCAAAGCCGUCUACGCAUUUGGCGAGGAGAGGAAGAAUCCCAACAAGUUAAGUGCUGCAGUUUAUCAUGCCCUAAAAGCAUAAUAUGAUUUUUGGCGUUGGGUCAAGCUAGACUACUGCACCGAAGGAGGCUUGGCGUUUUGCACCAAACGCGUUUGGUGUAGAUGCGUUUCCUGCACCGAACUAGUUUUCUGCACUAAACUAAUCUUUCAGAACGCUCAUCCAAAUCACCUUUUGUUUUUUAACCGGGUAUACCUGCAUUUUUUUGGAGGUAUAUGUAUGACAAAGUCAUGCAGCACGUGCUGCGAUGAGUCACUUCAUUUUGGGAUAAACAUGUUUUGUACACUAAACUAACUCAUUUACCCCAUUAUAAAAAGUGAGUGUACAUACCUCUUCUGGUGUACAUACUUCUUCUGAAGGUGAAUUGCAAUGGCAACCAUGGCGACAAUGCAGGGAGCCUUCGGUUCAUUGAAGGAGAUUGGUGACAUUGUGGCGAAUUUUGAUUUCAGCAAGGUAAAGUUGAACCUGUCUUGCCCAAAGCAGUGCUUAACUCCUUGUGGAAUGCUCCAGAUUGAUGUGCGUUCCAAGACUGCUGAGGAUUACCUCCACACCAACCUGGCACCAUCGUUUGGGGGAUUGAAUGCAGAAACAGUGAAGAAGAUGGAUGAGGUUCUCAAAGUUUGCAUCUCGGGAACCACAGACCUUAUAGCCAAAGUGGCACCGAAAGAGCGAACUUGGGAGAAGGUCAACUCCAUGUUCAUGCAAAAUCCCCUGGUUGAGCCAAUGGGCGAUGGGAUUAGCAGAGCUGACAAGUUUCUCAACAAAAGCUCUAGCGAUUUCA